AUUGAACGCUGGCGGCAGGCCUAACACAUGCAAGUCGAACGAGUGGCGGACGGGUGAGUAAUGUCUGGGAAACUGCCUGAUGGAGGGGGAUAACUACUGGAAACGGUAGCUAAUACCGCAUACCAUCUGAUGUGCCCAGAUGGGAUUAGCGAGUUGGUGGGGUAACGGCUCACCAAGGCGACGAUCCCUAGCUGGUCUGAUAGGAUGACCAGCCACACAGGGAAUGAGAAAGGGUACAGACUCCUACGGGGGGCAGCAGUGGGGAAAAUUGCACAAGGGGCGCAAGCCUGAUGCAGCCAAGACGCGUGUAUGAUGAAGGCCUUCGGGUGGGAAAGUACUUUCAGCAGGGAGACGUUACCCGCGGAAGAAGCACCGGCUAACUCCGUGCCAGCAGCCGCGGUAAUAC
rnacentral:rRNA from 1 species